CACGUAGGGCGCAAGCGUUGUCCGGAAUUAUUGGGCGUAAAGAGCUCGUAGGUGGUUUGUCGCGUCUGCUGUGAAAACCCGAGGCUCAACCUCGGGCCUGCAGUGGGUACGGGCAGACUAGAGUGCGGUAGGGGGGACUGGAAUUCCUGGUGUAGCGGUGAAAUGCGCAGAUAUCAGGAGGAACACCGAUGGCGAAGGCAGGUCUCUGGGCCACUACUGACGCUGAGAAGCGAAAGCAUGGGGAGCGAACAGG
rnacentral:rRNA from 1 species